UCCCCUCUGAUGGGUUUUGGGCAUAAGACAUCCUAUGUGCUCAUACAAACCCUAAAGCUUGGAUCUAGGUUUCUCUAUUGUACAUACUUUGAAUCCAGGACUUUGAACCCUAAUACUAGCAUAUGGAAAUCAGAAUUCACAUGUAAAUAGGUUUAAGAACAUACCUUGAUUGUUAUAUAGCAAUAACAAUCCAAUUCCUCCUUGAAUUGACCUUGGAAAGCAGAGAGUCACAAGUGUCACUCCUCUAAUGGCUCACAAACACCAUAAGCAAGUGGAGAAGGUAUAAAGAGAGAGGAGGGAGGUUAGAAUUCGUAUCUAGGACUUCUUGGGAAGGGAUACACGAAUUCAUGACCUUGGGGUUGUUUAUAUAGGUGUAGAGAUAGGGUUUCAGUCAUUAUCCUUAUCUAGUUGAUAAUCCAUUAAGCAACCAAUAAGAUAAUCCUUGAAUCCUUAUCAUACUCGAAUUCUAAGGCUUUCCAACCUUAAAUUCGUUCACCAUACUUAUAAGAUAAUCCUUACCUUAUUUUGUAACUAUCACAUAAUUACAAUUCAGCCCCUCUAGUUUAAUUAAUUACACUUGAUCACAAAAUUAAUUCUUAAUUAAUUAUUGACCAAUAUUAAUUAAACAAAUAUGAUUUCUCCUUUAAUAUAUUAUUCUUAUAACAUAUUAAUAAAUCAUAAUAACCUCUCUCUCUUUAUUUAUUUCUCCAAUCAAGUUGCUUUGGUGAAGGCAACCCAAAAGGACCAUGCACCAUCGGGUCAAGUACAUACCAAAAUAGUUAUGGACUUAGACACUAAUCCAACAGUCUCCCACUUGGAUAAGUCUAAUAACUAUUCUGCGUAUGACUUCAGAUCCCGAUCUGCAAUCGUAGCUUUCCAAAGCCGCUGUCAACUCUGAUCAUAUCAAAUACGCGUGUCCUUAGAUAAGGGAUCAUAUAUUCCUCCAUUCUAGAUAUCAUAUGAGAUAUGAUUUCAAAUCAUUCUCUUUGUACUAUAUCUCGAUUUCUGAUUUAUGACGACUGACUAAUUGAACAAAUCAAAUUAGCCCUAGCCCGGCCGAGCAUUUACGUUUGUCAUCACUAAACCAUCGAGGGGCCCAAAGAUAUCGCUUUUAUCCUACUUUGGAUAAAAGGAACGGAUAAACUUUGAUACAAUGCUUGCUUGCACUCACGCACCGAAUCACACACAACAAUAUGUUUUAUAACACCAAGUUACUAGUGCGUUUACAUAUUAUCAAUGUGCAACCGAUUUGCAAGAUACAACUCACACAUCUCGGUUUCAAGAAUAUAAGAUGUUAUCGUCUCACCAAUCACUCGUGAUACAAUUCAUGGAGUGAUCCAAGUGAGCGUGGGUUUAAUCCAAUGCUCAAAUCAUAUUCAUAAGCACUCAUGAACGUUGCAGCAAACAUUUGCUUAUGUCUAAUACUCUUUUAGACAAUCCACACACCAAUUCACGACAGUCUUCAUUCAUAUCUACUUCCAACAUAUGAACGACUGUGGCCCGUUCGAAUAAUUCGAUUAUUCUUAAUAAACUCAAUUAUUCUGGAAGUCAAAACAUGCAAAUGUGAAACACAAGAAUAAUACUAAUCCCAUAUGGCCUCAAACCUUUGAGUAUAAAUAAAACACCUUUUAUUUAUCACCAUAUUGAUUACUCAUUAUUUGUCGUUUCGGGUAAUCAACUUCUUACUUGAAUUACAACACUUGUCCCAUGCUCCUAGCAUGCACACAAUGUUUACCUAUGGUUCUUACUUUGUGAAAUAGAUCACAUUGAACACAUUUCCAAUCAUUCUCAUUUCACAACUCCAAAUCCUUUUUCAUAAGUGAAAGAAUAUCAAAUUCUUGCUACUUAUAGAAUAUGCUAGAUUCUAACAUUCUAUGCAACUAUCCUUUCGUAAUGUCACUGCACCAAAGUCACAAAGACUAUUGCCAAUGAUAUUACAAAGUCCUCUAUCGGAGAUUGUUACAAGACAAUUCCAUAGAUGUGAUGUCUCUCACUCAAAGUACAUUCUUUGAACAUCCUUUUGCAUAGAAGUUUCUAAUCUAGUCAUAGAUUUCUCAAUAUUCAAUUCCCAAUAUGGACACACUUCCAUAUGUUCCAUAUGACAACUCAUUCUUAAUAGAAUCUUAUCUAUUCGUAAUGAUGUCGAUAUGGUCCAUCCAAUAUGGAAACAUUUCCAUAUUUUCCAAUACUAUACUUCCAACUACUCACAAGCGACCAAUCCUCGUCGAACUUUGGAUUGUCCUUUGAUAGUUGUUUAAUUAUUUUAGUCAAAACCAAUUCUAGUCCCUUUUCCCUCUAAAUGCGCUCGACAUUUGGAAAAUUUUAGAAUGGUCAAACAUUAAAGCAUUUGCAAUCGAUCCUAUACCCGAAGCGUAUGGGACACGACGCAUAAUGUUUUAUUUGCUAUGUUCUCAAAAUUCGAAUUGUGAAGAGGGAUGCCGUAAUCAUAAUCGAAAUUUUAAGAACACACUUUGUACCUUUGACUAAAUUUUAUUAACAUUUCUCAACCUAAACCUUUAGAUUUGAAAUGAAGCAUAAUAUUCUCUCCCUUAAUUAUAGCAAAACAACUCUUCAACUAUUGCGACUUUGCAAAGUAUGACUCUUGUUUUCUAUAAUUAAUAUUGCUAACCUUGCAAUACUUUCCUUAAUAAUCAUACAAUCAUAACUUUUAUGCUCCCACUAUCUUGAUGAUUAUUAUAAAACAUAACACUUAUGCUCCCACUAGCUUCGACAUGUAUUCAUAAACAUCUUAACUUUCAGAAAAAAAAUGCUUAUUGAAUUUCUUAAGUUCAUGUUUCUAAUACUUAGUGCUUUGAUAAUCUUUUAUCAAGGUUUCUUGAACUUAUACACAUUUGCCUUCGAUAGUUCAUAUGUGUGUCUAAACAAUUAAGACUAAUUGCCAAACCUCACAAUUCAAAUUAUGGAAAGGGAUGCCGUAACCAUAAUUGAAUUCGAGAAUGCAAUUUUACAAUCACUAUCUUCUUAAAAUCUGUCUUAGUGAAAGCAUUUCCUCACAAUCAUUUUCAUGAAGGAGGAAAUCUUAUGACACUUAGAUUUAAACGGUGUAUUUGUUCCUAUCCAUGUGAAUUUGUCAAAACCAAAGUUUACGACAAAUUCAAACUCUUAUGGAUCGAACUUUCUUGAUCUCGAUUUCUUGCCUUUAUGGUAGCACAGCUGCCCACCAUGUCUUCCAAGUAGUUAAGCAGCUCACCCUUUCCUAUCAAUGUACCUUUCAUUGAUUAAGGUGCUUUGCCUUUUAUGCGUUCAAAAUGAGAACUCAUAGAACUCACAUGCAUAAUUAACUCGAUUGGAUUGGCACAGAAUCAAAAUAAUGUCAACACGAUAGGUUGUAAACCUCAACUCGUGUGCUAGUGAUGAUCGAUAAGGUUUAUUUGAUUUGUUCUUGAAACCUUUCAAGACCAUUAAGACUCCCACUGACUCCUUGACAUAUAAGAUUCUCUUGUCAAAAAACAUUUCUUGACAAACAAAUAUUCAAGAGUUAGUGUAGCUUUUAUCAAAACACUUCAUAAAUUGGUCCUAGUUGGUCUUUGUCUUAUCCAAGACAUCACAACUUUCCACAUUUAAUGAAAGUUACAAACCUUCUUAAUACCUUUCACUCAAUGUCACAAUCUUAACUUUAAGACUUGUUAUUGGAACGAAGUAUGAUUGACUUAUUGAUUUAACCAUUUCUUCAAUUCUUGAUUCCUCUUCUUAGACAUACAAUUGUACUAAGACUCACUUAGAGGAUCAAUUGAGAUAUGGUUCUUAAUCAUUAAGACCUAUCAUAAAGCAUAAAAGGUACUCUCCCUUCUUCUUAGAAUGGAGAAACUUUUAUCUUUCUGCCUACUUGAUUCUUCUUAUUCGUUCUGCUAUUGAUUUAAACCUUUUCAAUCAAUUCAGAAUUACACUUAAUCUUAUAAGUAUAAUCAUAUUUACUAAACCUUUAGUAAAUCAUGACGAAUAUCUUUGUUACUCUUAUGGUGGACUUGAUCAACACGCAACUUUGUGUACUCGAUCUCCUAGUCCUUCACUUGACACUUUGUCAAUGAAUUAGUCUAAUUUCCAAAUAUGAAAUUUCUCAUUCAUCGUGCAACCAAGUUGCAUGAUUCCAAGUUUCUGUCCAAUUGAAACUUGGGCGAUGAGAAACUCUCCCUAUUUGGUAAAUUCUCGACUUUCCAUAAAUAACAUAAUAAGAACCAAAUCCAUUAUUGCUAAUAAUAGAAACAUUUUAACAUCAAUUUUUCAUACACGCCAUUGUAAGGAUAAAUAAAUAAAAUUUAAAAUCAAAAUUUAUUUUAUUGCGGAAAAAUUUGUCCUUACAAUGCAACUCAUUGAAAAACUUAUGCUAAUACAUCUUUCUUAGCAAUCUAAUUCUAACUCUAAGUAGUAGCUCAAGAAUCUAAUCUUUGAGAAAUGCGAUCGAAAUCCAUUCCUUCACGGUUAGAUUCUGCUCACUUCUUCCCUUAAGCUUCCUUUCUUUUCUUCGAUCCUACAAAACAUCAAUUGUAAUCUUAUCACAUUAUGUAUUAAGAAUCUAGAAUAGAAGCUUAAAAGAGUUAGUUAAUGGAUUUUACCUAUAUUAGAGCCAUACGUUUCGACUCUCCCAUCUCUUAGAUCUCUUAGGUAAAUGGGGCAGCUUCGUCUCCAAUGCCCUUUCUCUUGGCAAUAAAAGCAAAUUGACUCUUUUGGAACAUGACAUGGAACUACUUCAGACAUUGCCUUUCUCUUAUGAUCAAACUUUUCGAUCAUAGCAUGUCUUUCGUUGCCAUUGUCUAUAUCCAUAGAGGUCUUGAAGGCAGAUUCACCAAUCAACUUUGCUUUUCUAUUGCGCCAAACCAUUGCUGAUUCAGCAGCAAUAAGCAUAUAGGUGAGAUCUAUAAGGGUCACGUCGCAGUUCAUCAUAUAGUACUCUCUUACGAACUCACUAUAUGAGUUAGGAAGUGACUGAAGAACCCAAUCAACAGCCAUUUCCUCACAGACAACGGAUCCCAACAUUCUUAACCUAUCAAUGUGUGACUUCAUCCCUAGGACGUGUGCACACACCGACUUUCCUUCUUUAUGUUUACUUGCCAAAAGGGCUUGAGUGAUCUUGAACUUUUCAAGCCUUUGAACUUGUGGGUUAGGGAGAAUAAUUGGAGGAGGUGGAGGAAGUGAAGCAUGAUUUCUUGUUCCUCGAUCGAAUCGUGGAAUAUCAUCUUCAUGUGGAAUGCUUGUUCCACGGGAUUUGGGAAGACCAUAGUUGUCGAACUUUGACAUCUACAAAACGGGAGAAAACGAAUUCAAGUUAGUUGAUUGAUUGAGUCCUUAGUAAAUCACCCAAAUGAGAUACUAAGGCUAGGACCCAACACAAUAUUCUACAACUCGGGAGAGGGAUGCCGUAACCCAAAUUGCAGAACAUUUGAAGGUAAGUGAAUGACGAUUCACUAAUUUCCACCAUGAAAAACGAAAAAGAAAUUUAAGUUUUAAAUCUAUGAAAACUCCUAGAUCCUUUGAGAUUCAUUGAACAUUUCAAUGGCAUGUUUAAAUCUCGAUAUGCCCCUCUUGUUUGUGACUGGGAUGCCGAGGAUCACAAAGCGGGUGUGAAUAACCAUGCAAACUUACAUGGUGCCCUCACAUGUUACAGUCACCUAUUCGAUGUGCCGGUAAACCACACACGCUCCACCGAACUAUGACAAACAUUGAGUCACCCUUUGCUACCUUUGCUUAGAACCAUUUAGUGUGCCGGUAAACCACACACGCUCCACUAACGUCUUCGCAAGGGCACAAAGUGUAAUUUCAUGGAAUUGCAUCAAUUCACUUUUGCCUAAGUAACUAAGAUUGGGAAUUUUAUGAAAACAUUUAGUUACUUUUAUACUUCAUUAUACUUAUAAUGGAAGGUUUCGUCCUAUCCUACCCGUUCGGCUAACGACCCUCCACUAGUCAAGAGUGCGGUGGGUAAGAGUGGAUACCCAUUCAAUCGCCAUUUUAUAGGCAAUUUCCUUAAACACCCCUUAUAGACCAGCUUCGUGAAUGAGGCCUACUAACGGUAAGACUGACUUUUACUCAUACAUAUAUAUAAUGUUAGACUUUUAAUGUUAUAUAUAGUAUAGGGUGUAUUUUACACUUUUAAAAUACUAGGUGGUCAAAUUUAACAAUUAUACUUUUAAUUCAAUUAAAUUGUAAACCUAAACUUUUAUGGAUUUAUUAAACCUCUUUUAAUUAUACACCUUAAUUAAUUAAUAAAACCAUAAGGGUGUGAUUUGAACUUUUUCAAAACUAUACUAGAGUUUUAGAAUUUAACAUUCCUAAUUAAACUUUUAAUCAACUUUUAAAUUCCAAAACUUGAGGGCAAGUUUUGAAACAUUUCAACACAUUAGGGUUUAGAAUUUAAAUAUACAUCAAAAUUAAACCAUUUAAUCAAAAUUUAAAUUCCAAAACUUGAGGGCAAGUUUUGAAACCUUUUUCAAAACAUUAGGGUUUCAACUAUUUAAAUUUCAAAACAACAAAACUUUUGGGUUCAAAUUUAAACUAUAAAACCUAAAGGGGAAAAUAUGAAACUUUUCAUAACAACAAGGAUCAAAUAACAAAUAAUCUAAAUUAACAUUUAAUCACAUAAUUAUCCAUAUUUGAUUUAUUUAAUGAUUUCUUGCAAAACAAUUUAUCAAUUUAGUCAAAAUAAUUAAUCAAUUAUCACAUAAGGAAACAAUUAUCUUAUUAAUUGAUAAAUAUCUUCAAUUAGAUCAAAAAUAUAGUCAAAUAUAUCAUAUAAUCGGAUUAAUAUUGAUCUAACAUGAUAAGGUAACUAUCCAUAAGCAAAAACAACAAGAAAUCCCGAAAUACCCUCCAUCUGACGAGUUGACUCGUCGAGUCAGGCUUGGACUCGUCGAGUCUGCAUGGACUCGGCGAGUUCAGCUAUGGACUCGGCGAGUCCAGCCUCCAGAACAUCAAAAAUCGAAUUUUUUGAACAUGUAAUGCAUCAAUACAAUUGAAACCAGUCUAGGCUCUGAUACCACUGAUGGGUUUUGGUCAUAAGACAUCCUAUGUGCUCAUACAAACCCUAAAGCUCGGAUCUAGGUUUCUCUAUUGUACAUACUUUGAAUCCAAGACUUUGAACCCUAAUACUAGCAUAUGGAAAUCAGAAUUCACAUGUAAAUAGGUUUAAGAACAUACCUUGAUUGUUAUAUAGCAAUAACAAUCCAAUUCCUCCUUGAAUUGACCUUGGAAAGCAGAGAGUCACAAGUGUCACUCCUCUAAUGGCUCACAAACACCAUAAGCAAGUGGAGAAGGUAUAAAGAGAGAGGAGGGAGGUUAGAAUUCGUAUCUAGGACUUCUUGGGAAGGGAUACACGAAUUCAUGACCUUGGGGUUGUUUAUAUAGGUGUAGAGAUAGGGUUUCAGUCAUUAUCCUUAUCUAGUUGAUUAUCCAUUAAGCAACCAAU
rnacentral:lncRNA from 1 species